UACGUAGGGGGCAAGCGUUGUCCGGAAUCAUUGGGCGUAAAGCGCGUGUAGGCGGUCCGGUAAGUCCGCUGUGAAAGUCGGGGGCUUAACCCUCGGAUGCCGGUGGAUACUGUCGGGCUUGAGUACGGAAGAGGCGAGUGGAAUUCCUGGUGUAGCGGUGAAAUGCGCAGAUAUCAGGAGGAACACCAAUUGCGAAGGCAGCUCGCUGGGACGUUACUGACGCUGAGGAGCGAAAGCGUGGGGAGCGAACCGG
rnacentral:rRNA from 1 species